rnacentral:rRNA from 1 species
ACUGAACGCUGGCGGUAUGCUUAACACAUGCAAGUCGAACGGUAGCAGGCCUUCGGGCGCUGACGAGUGGCGGACGGGUGAGUAACGCGUAGGAAUCUGCCUCAUAGUGGGGGACAACGUGGGGAAACUCACGCUAAUACCGCAUACGCUCUUUGUUCUAAGGAAUGGGGAGGAAAGCGGGGGACCUUCGGGCCUCGCGCUAUGAGAUGAGCCUGCGUUAGAUUAGCUAGUUGGUAGGGUAAAGGCCUACCAAGGCGACGAUCUAUAGCUGGUCUGAGAGGACGAUCAGCCACACUGGGACUGAGACACGGCCCAGACUCCUACGGGAGGCAGCAGUGGGGAAUAUUGGACAAUGGGCGCGAGCCUGAUCCAGCAAUACCGCGUGUGUGAAGAAGGCCCUAGGGUUGUAAAGCACUUUCAAUAGGGAGGAAAACCUGCCGGUCAAUACCCGGUAGCUUGACAUUACCUAUACAAGAAGCACCGGCUAACUCCGUGCCAGCAGCCGCGGUAAAAC